GGGUUGUGAGGUUAAGCGACUAAGCGUACACGGUGGAUGCCCUGGCAGUCAGAGGCGAUGAAGGGCGUGCUAAUCUGCGAUAAGCGCCGGUAAGGUGAUAUGAACCGUUAUAACCGGCGAUACCCGAAUGGGGAAACCCAGUGUGAUUCGUCACACUAUCAUUAACUGAAUCCAUAGGUUAAUGAGGCGAACCGGGGGAACUGAAACAUCUAAGUACCCCGAGGAAAAGAAAUCAACCGAGAUUCCCCCAGUAGCGGCGAGCGAACGGGGAGGAGCCCAGAGCCUGAAUCAGCAUGUGUGUUAGUGGAAGCGUCUGGAAAGGCGCGCGAUACAGGGUGACAGCCCCGUACACAAAAGCGUAUGUGCUGUGAGCUCGAUGAGUAGGGCGGGACACGUGGUAUCCUGUCUGAAUAUGGGGGGACCAUCCUCCAAGGCUAAAUACUCCUGACUGACCGAUAGUGAACCAGUACCGUGAGGGAAAGGCGAAAAGAACCCCGGCGAGGGGAGUGAAAAAGAACCUGAAACCGUGUACGUACAAGCAGUGGGAGCACCCUUUGGGGUGUGACUGCGUACCUUUUGUAUAAUGGGUCAGCGACUUAUAUUCUGUAGCAAGGUUAACCGAAUAGGGGAGCCGGAGGGAAACCGAGUCUUAAUUGGGCGUUAAGUUGCAGGGUAUAGACCCGAAACCCGGUGAUCUAGCCAUGGGCAGGUUGAAGGUUGGGUAACACUAAC
rnacentral:rRNA from 1 species